AGUGAACGCUGGCGGUAGGCCUAACACAUGCAAGUCGAACGGCAGCACAGUAAGAGCUUGCUCUUACGGGUGGCGAGUGGCGGACGGGUGAGGAAUACAUCGGAAUCUACUUUUUCGUGGGGGAUAACGUAGGGAAACUUACGCUAAUACCGCAUACGACCUACGGGUGAAAGCAGGGGAUCUUCGGACCUUGCGCGAUUGAAUGAGCCGAUGUCGGAUUAGCUAGUUGGCGGGGUAAAGGCACACCAAGGCGACGAUCCGUAGCUGGUCUAAGAGGAUGAUCAGCCACACUGGAACUGAGACACGGUCCAGACUCCUACGGGAGGCAGCAGUGGGGAAUAUUGGACAAUGGGCGCAAGCCUGAUCCAGCCAUACCGCGUGGGUGAAGAAGGCCUUCGGGUUGUAAAGCCCUUUUGUUGGGAAAGAAAAGCAGCAGGUUAAUACCCCGCUGUUCUGACGGUACCCAAAGAAUAAGCACCGGCUAACUUCGUG
rnacentral:rRNA from 1 species